rnacentral:tRNA from 1 species
GAUUAAAUGGCUGAAUAAUAAGCGGUAAACUGUAAAUUUAUUUAUAAGAAUUUUUCUUUUUAAUCA